GAUUAAGUUAUUAAGGGCGCACGGUGGAUGCCUUGGCACUAGAAGCCGAUGAAGGACGUUACUAACGACGAUAUGCUUUGGGGAGCUGUAAGUAAGCUUUGAUCCAGAGAUUUCCGAAUGGGGAAACCCAGCAUGAGUUAUGUCAUGUUAUCGAUAUGUGAAUACAUAGCAUAUCAGAAGGCACACCCGGAGAACUGAAACAUCUUAGUACCCGGAGGAAGAGAAAGAAAAUUCGAUUCCCUUAGUAGCGGCGAGCGAAAUGGGAAGAGCCCAAACCAACAAGCUUGCUUGUUGGGGUUGUAGGACACUCUAUACGGAGUUACAAAGGACGACAUUAGACGAAUCAUCUGGAAAGAUGAAUCAAAGAAGGUAAUAAUCCUGUAGUCGAAAAUGUUGUCUCUCUUGAGUGGAUCCUGAGUACGACGGAGCACGUGAAAUUCCGUCGGAAUCUGGGAGGACCAUCUCCUAAGGCUAAAUACUCUCUAGUGACCGAUAGUGAACCAGUACCGUGAGGGAAAGGUGAAAAGCACCCCGGAAGGGGAGUGAAAUAGAACCUGAAACCGUGUGCUUACAAGUAGUCAGAGCCCGUUAAUGGGUGAUGGCGUGCCUUUUGUAGAAUGAACCGGCGAGUUACGAUUUGAUGCAAGGUUAAGCAGUAAAUGUGGAGCCGUAGCGAAAGCGAGUCUGAAUAGGGCGUUUAGUAUUUGGUCGUAGACCCGAAACCAGGUGAUCUACCCUUGGUCAGGUUGAAGUUCAGGUAACACUGAAUGGAGGACCGAACCGACUUACGUUGAAAAGUGAGCGGAUGAACUGAGGGUAGCGGAGAAAUUCCAAUCGAACCUGGAGAUAGCUGGUUCUCUCCGAAAUAGCUUUAGGGCUAGCCUCAAGUGAUGAUUAUUGGAGGUAGAGCACUGUUUGGACGAGGGGCCCCUCUCGGGUUACCGAAUUCAGACAAACUCCGAAUGCCAAUUAAUUUAACUUGGGAGUCAGAACAUGGGUGAUAAGGUCCGUGUUCGAAAGGGAAACAGCCCAGACCACCAGCUAAGGUCCCAAAAUAUAUGUUAAGUGGAAAAGGAUGUGGCGUUGCCCAGACAACUAGGAUGUUGGCUUAGAAGCAGCCAUCAUUUAAAGAGUGCGUAAUAGCUCACUAGUCGAGUGACACUGCGCCGAAAAUGUACCGGGGCUAAACAUAUUACCGAAGCUGUGGAUUGUCCUUUGGACAAUGGUAGGAGAGCGUUCUAAGGGCGUUGAAGCAUGAUCGUAAGGACAUGUGGAGCGCUUAGAAGUGAGAAUGCCGGUGUGAGUAGCGAAAGACGGGUGAGAAUCCCGUCCACCGAUUGACUAAGGUUUCCAGAGGAAGGCUCGUCCGCUCUGGGUUAGUCGGGUCCUAAGCUGAGGCCGACAGGCGUAGGCGAUGGAUAACAGGUUGAUAUUCCUGUACCACCUAUAAUCGUUUUAAUCGAUGGGGGGACGCAGUAGGAUAGGCGAAGCGUGCGAUUGGAUUGCACGUCUAAGCAGUAAGGCUGAGUAUUAGGCAAAUCCGGUACUCGUUAAGGCUGAGCUGUGAUGGGGAGAAGACAUUGUGUCUUCGAGUCGUUGAUUUCACACUGCCGAGAAAAGCCUCUAGAUAGAAAAUAGGUGCCCGUACCGCAAACCGACACAGGUAGUCAAGAUGAGAAUUCUAAGGUGAGCGAGCGAACUCUCGUUAAGGAACUCGGCAAAAUGACCCCGUAACUUCGGGAGAAGGGGUGCUCUUUAGGGUUAACGCCCAGAAGAGCCGCAGUGAAUAGGCCCAAGCGACUGUUUAUCAAAAACACAGGUCUCUGCUAAACCGUAAGGUGAUGUAUAGGGGCUGACGCCUGCCCGGUGCUGGAAGGUUAAGAGGAGUGGUUAGCUUCUGCGAAGCUACGAAUCGAAGCCCCAGUAAACGGCGGCCGUAACUAUAACGGUCCUAAGGUAGCGAAAUUCCUUGUCGGGUAAGUUCCGACCCGCACGAAAGGCGUAACGAUUUGGGCACUGUCUCAACGAGAGACUCGGUGAAAUCAUAGUACCUGUGAAGAUGCAGGUUACCCGCGACAGGACGGAAAGACCCCGUGGAGCUUUACUGUAGCCUGAUAUUGAAAUUCGGCACAGCUUGUACAGGAUAGGUAGGAGCCUUUGAAACGUGAGCGCUAGCUUACGUGGAGGCGCUGGUGGGAUACUACCCUAGCUGUGUUGGCUUUCUAACCCGCACCACUUAUCGUGGUGGGAGACAGUGUCAGGCGGGCAGUUUGACUGGGGCGGUCGCCUCCUAAAAGGUAACGGAGGCGCUCAAAGGUUCCCUCAGAAUGGUUGGAAAUCAUUCAUAGAGUGUAAAGGCAUAAGGGAGCUUGACUGCGAGACCUACAAGUCGAGCAGGGUCGAAAGACGGACUUAGUGAUCCGGUGGUUCCGCAUGGAAGGGCCAUCGCUCAACGGAUAAAAGCUACCCCGGGGAUAACAGGCUUAUCUCCCCCAAGAGUUCACAUCGACGGGGAGGUUUGGCACCUCGAUGUCGGCUCAUCGCAUCCUGGGGCUGUAGUCGGUCCCAAGGGUUGGGCUGUUCGCCCAUUAAAGCGGUACGCGAGCUGGGUUCAGAACGUCGUGAGACAGUUCGGUCCCUAUCCGUCGUGGGCGUAGGAAAUUUGAGAGGAGCUGUCCUUAGUACGAGAGGACCGGGAUGGACAUACCUCUGGUGUACCAGUUGUCGUGCCAACGGCAUAGCUGGGUAGCUAUGUGUGGACGGGAUAAGUGCUGAAAGCAUCUAAGCAUGAAGCCCCCCUCAAGAUGAGAUUUCCCAACUUCGGUUAUAAGAUCCCUCAAAGAUGAUGAGGUUA
rnacentral:rRNA from 1 species